AAACUGAAGAGUUUGAUCAUGGCUCAGAUUGAACGCUGGCGGAAUGCUUUACACAUGCAAGUCGAACGGCAGCACGG
rnacentral:rRNA from 1 species